GUGGGGAAUAUUGGACAAUGGGCGCAAGCCUGAUCCAGCCAUGCCGCGUGAGUGAUGAAGGCCCUAGGGUUGUAAAGCUCUUUCACCGAUGAAGAUAAUGACGGUAGUCGGAGAAGAAGCCCCGGCUAACUUCGUGCCAGCAGCCGCGGUAAUACGAAGGGGGCUAGCGUUGUUCGGAUUUACUGGGCGUAAAGCGCACGUAGGCGGUUUGUUAAGUCAGAGGUGAAAUCCCGGAGCUCAACUCCGGAACUGCCUUUGAUACUGGCAAGCUAGAGUCCGGAAGAGGUAAGUGGAACUCCUAGUGUAGAGGUGGAAUUCGUAGAUAUUAGGAAGAACACCAGUGGCGAAGGCGGCUUACUGGUCCGGAACUGACGCUGAGGUGCGAAAGCGUGGGGAGCAAACAGGAUUAGAAACCCUAGUAGUCC
rnacentral:rRNA from 1 species